rnacentral:rRNA from 1 species
UACGUAGGUGGCAAGCGUUGUCCGGAUUUACUGGGCGUAAAGAGCGCGCAGGUGGUUCCUUAAGUCUGAUGUGAAAGCCCACGGCUCAACCGUGGAGGGUCAUUGGAAACUGGGGAACUUGAGUGCAGAAGAGGAAAGUGGAAUUCCAAGUGUAGCGGUGAAAUGCGUAGAGAUUUGGAGGAACACCAGUGGCGAAGGCGACUUUCUGGUCUGUAACUGACACUGAGGCGCGAAAGCGUGGGGAGCAAACAGG